UACGAAGGGGGCUAGCGUUGUUCGGAAUCACUGGGCGUAAAGCGCACGCAGGCGGAUUGUUAAGUCAGGGGUGAAAUCCCGAGGCUCAACCUCGGAACUGCCUUUGAUACUGGCAAUCUUUGAGUCCGGGAGAGGUGAGUGGAACUCCGAGUGUAGAGGUGAAAUUCGUAGAUAUUCGGAAGAACACCAGUGGCGAAGGCGGCUCACUGGCCCGGUACUGACGCUCAGGUGCGAAAGCGUGGGGAGCAAACAGG
rnacentral:rRNA from 1 species